GAUGAACGCUGGCGGCGUGCCUAAUACAUGCAAGUCGAGCGAACAGACGAAGAGCUUGCUCCUCUGACGUUAGCGGCGGACGGGUGAGUAACACGUGGAUAACCUACUUAUAAGACUGGGAUAACUUCGGGAAACCGGAGCUAAUACCGGAUAAUAUAUUGAACCGCAUGGUUCAAUAGUGAAAGACGGUUUUGCUGUCACUUAUAGAUGGAUCCGCGCCGCAUUAGCUAGUUGGUAAGGUAACGGCUUACCAAGGCAACGAUGCGUAGCCGACCUGAGAGGGUGAUCGGCCACACUGGAACUGAGACACGGUCCAGACUCCUACGGGAGGCAGCAGUAGGGAAUCUUCCGCAAUGGGCGAAAGCCUGACGGAGCAACGCCGCGUGAGUGAUGAAGGUCUUCGGAUCGUAAAACUCUGUUAUUAGGGAAGAACAAAUGUGUAAGUAACUAUGCACGUCUUGACGGUACCUAAUCAGAAAGCCACGGCUAACUACGUG
rnacentral:rRNA from 1 species